AUUAAUGAUCUCUAUGUGUAGUGAAAGAGUCUGGCACAAAAAAUUAGAUAGAAAAUGAUGGAUGACACCCAGUCUCAACCUCUGCUCAUUGUAUGCAUCUGUAUAUACACUAAUGUAUAUACAUUUACACAAUACACAUAAAAGUUUUAAACUAAUAUUCUGUAGCUUUGUAGUAAUUUUGGUAGAGUUUUAUAUGGCUGUCUGAAUUUUAUUCUUGGUGUUCAGGUUUAAGAAAUAAGUCAUGACUUGAAAUAAGAAUUAGAAGAGUUUUUCAGAUACCAGAAGGCAGUUUGGGCUGAGCUCAUUCAUGUAACUUAGCCCACCCUGGGAAGAUGUGCAGCGCUCCAGGCAGAGCAUGAGAAGCGGCCGAUGGGCUCUCCUGCCUUUUGGUUUUCAGUCUCCUAAGGUCAAAUGGCAUUUUUCCUGCUAAGUGAGAAAGUUAUCCUACAGGCCUAAUGGUAGUUACUCAUCCCGUUUGUUUUCUUAUUAGUUUAAUGAUAAUGAAUUACAAAGGAAAUUUGUGGGUAACAUUUUUCCUGCUUAUAAUUAAUGCACAGCCCAAGGAGAAACUGGCAUUCUAUACUAUUGAAAAUAAUAAAAUCCUAAUAACAAAGUCCCAAUAAAGCUUUAGAGUCUGUUUCUGGCAUAAAAAAUUAAAAACUAGAACAACAUCUUAACACAGAACACUGUUUUAGACAAGGGCGUUAAAAUGGCCAGAGCUUUAGUAUUAGUAAAUCUAACCCAACCCUGUCAACACACAUAAUUGAGUAUGCAUGAUAUUCACAGUUUACUAAAGGGGAUCAUUAAACUCCAGAAUAAAUUGCAAUUAUGAGCAGACAUUAUCUCCAGUACUUUUGAAAUGUGCUCUUAAGUUUCUGCUAGUAAGAGCUACACUAUUGUGUUAGACAUUAUUGUACAUGUGUACUCAACACUAAGAGAUAAUCAACUUGGCUAUUGAGGCUCUGUGGAAACAAUUUAGAGCUCAAAUAUAGAGACUGUCUGUCUGCAAAUAUUAUUUUUCCUUUAAUUUAAGGCUAACCUGGAACUUAUGGGCCUCCUACCUUGCUAGGACUAAGAUGUGCUACCACACUUGGCUCUAUUUGCAUAUUUUAGUGUUCUUCAUUAAUAUGGGCUUUUAGAAUAAAUCCAAUCAUGAUUUUUCACUCUUAAAAGAUUUCACAGCUGCAUGAAAACUGGUUGGUGAUAAGCAGCACACAGAAUUGGCCCUCCUGUGAACUGUAGUGGGACCUCACGCUGAGAAAAGACUUACUUCCCUGGCUUAUUUUCUUGUUGAGUUACACAGCAAAUAUUUACUGAGCACCCAUCAAAUACCAGGCUCUAUAGUAGCCAGAGAGAAUCAGACAGGAAUUGCACUUCAAGCUCUCUUACUGCUAACAGUAGUGAGUGGGGCAAAGCAUUGUAAGAAGACAGCAACACACACAAAGAAUGGGAGAAUAUAGUGCCUGAACUUAGACCUUCAGAGAAACCCUUCUAUAGUAGGAAUCUCCUAGGCUGAAAUUAGGAAGAUCCAUACUUAGAUGAGGGAAAUCCAUGCAUAGCCUCAUGAUAAAAGAAAGCCAGAGCAAGAGAGGCAAAUAAUGUGUGUCUGGAGGCCCAGAGAAGCUGAGGUACACCAGCUUUCCAGUGGGACACACUUGCCAUUAGUAAUUUUUUUUCUUUCUCCCAUACUUGGGAGGUGGAUGCAAGUGUUUGUGAAACAUAUGAGUGGCUUCUUGGUCCAUGAAUGGUUUCUUGGUCCAUGAAUUUGUAGGGCCUUUGAGAAUUCUUUGAGAUUGAAAACUUAAGUAUGCUAUACCCAAAUAAAGAGUUCAGACCACUUUCUUUUAUUUUUUUGAUAUUUUAUUUAUUUACAUUUCAAAUGUUAUCCCAUUUCCAGGUUUCCCCUCUGGAAAACCUUCAAUCCCUUCUUCCUCCCCCUGCUUGUAUGAGGGUGUUCUCCCACUCCCCCACCCACUCAAAUACAGAGGUGGAUGCUCCCAGCCAAUCAUUUGACUGAACAGGAGGACUCUAAUGAGAAUCAGAACACUGUCUUCGUCACCUGCCCCAGGCUGCUCUCUGGCUUAUAUUCCCCAACACUCAAGAAUGUACUAUCCUUAGCAGUUAGAGUAUAACCUGCCUAUAUCCAGGUUGAACCAAAAUCUUGAGAUUAUUACUUUGAAUGUAUUCUGCAAAUUUCUACAGAUUUAUCAUGUUACUAAGACACCCUAUAAGCAUUUUAGAACUAUUUCAGAACUAUCAGACAAUACAGAAGUGUAAAAAUGAGAGCUGCAUGCGACUAUCCUGAGAUGUUUCCUGAAAGAGGUAGGACUGAAACCAGAAAGAAACACAGGUUGGUCCAAAGGCACCUUUCUAGUCAGGAAGUGGCACAUAUAAAGGUAGAAAUUACACAGUUAUCCUCAAAUGUAGGCUAUGUGGAGAGAUUAGAGCAGUGAAAAUUUGGC
rnacentral:lncRNA from 1 species